rnacentral:snRNA from 2 species
AGCUCAUACCAUUCUAGGUUAGGAUCAAGUGUAAUAUAUGUUCUUAUUAGUUCAUAUCUAAUAUAUGGUUCAAUAGAUCACACGAUAUUAAAUUACUUUUUCGAAAGAAAGAUACCACUUUAGUAGCUUCCUACUAGGUUUCUUAUGUGUCACCCAAA